GAUGAACGCUAGCUACAGGCUUAACACAUGCAAGUCGAGGGGUAGCAGGGUAGCAAUACCGCUGACGACCGGCGCACGGGUGAGUAACACGUAUCCAACCUUCCCAUAACUCUGGGAUAGCCUUUCGAAAGAAAGAUUAAUACCGGAUGGUACUUUUUCAAGGCAUCUUGAGAAAGUUAAAGAUUUAUUGGUUAUGGAUGGGGAUGCGUUCCAUUAGAUAGUUGGUGAGGUAACGGCUCACCAAGUCUUCGAUGGAUAGGGGUUCUGAGAGGAAGGUCCCCCACAUUGGUACUGAGACACGGACCAGACUCCUACGGGAGGCAGCAGUAGGGAAUCUUGCGCAAUGGACGGAAGUCUGACGCAGCAACGCCACGUGUGGGACGACGCCUUUCGGGGUGUAAACCACUGUUAGCAGGGACUAGCCUACGACGUAGGUCGUACCGAAUGUACCUGCAGAGAAAGCACCGGCAAACUUCGUGCCAGCAGCCGCGGUAAAACGUCUA
rnacentral:rRNA from 1 species